rnacentral:rRNA from 1 species
UACGAAGGGUGCAAGCGUUACUCGGAAUUACUGGGCGUAAAGGGUGCGUAGGUGGUCGUUUAAGUCCGUUGUGAAAUCCCUGGGCUCAACCUGGGAAUGGCAGUGGAUACUGGACGGCUAGAAUGCGGUAGAGGGUAGUGGAAUUCCCGGUGUAGCAGUGAAAUGCGUAGAGAUCGGGAGGAACACCGAUGGCGAAGGCAGUGUUCUGGGCCAGUACUGACGCUGAGGAGCGAAAGCGUGGGGAGCAAACAGG